CCAAUAGCGUAUAUUAAAGUUGUUGCAGUUAAAAAGCUCGUAGUUGAAUUUCGGGAUCAAGUCGUCGGUCGUGCCUCGGUACGCACUGGUGACAUUGGUUUCUCCCUUCUGAAGAACCUUGAUGUCAUUAAUUUGGUGUCUUGGGGAAUCAGGACUGUUACUUUGAAAAAAUUAGAGUGUUUAAAGCAGGCUCACGCUUGAAUACAUUAGCAUGGAAUAAUGAAAUAGGACGUUUGAUUCUAUUUUGUUGGUUUCUAGGAUCGACGUAAUGAUUAAUAGGGAUAGUUGGGGGCAUUAGUAUUCAAUUGUCAGAGGUGAAAGUCUUGGAUUUAUUGAAGACUAACUACUGCUAAAGCAUUUGCCAAGGAUGUUUUCAUUAAUCAAGAACGAAAGUUAGGGGAUCGAAGACGAUCAGAUACCGUCGUAGUCUUAACCAUAAACUAUGCCGACUAGGGAUCGGAUGAUGUUAAUUUUUUAAUGACUCAUUCGGCGCCUUACG
rnacentral:misc_RNA from 1 species